rnacentral:misc_RNA from 1 species
CGGAUUGAAUGAAACUGCGAUUUCUCCUUGUCUAUGACCUGGUCAAUGAGUUUAAAGCCUGCUAGCACGUUUAACUUGCACGUUUAAAGUGAAGACUCGGGCAAAACUAUGAAGAUACAAUUAAUGCACUUUGAUCGAUUGAUCAUAGAUCAUCGUAUGUAGAAUGGUUAUACUUAAUAAUUUUCUUGUAGAAUGGCUUUGUCACUCAUUUGCCGUGAUCUAGAGAACUGCAUUACAUGGCCCUCACCUCUUCCAGGCGUUCAGGAAGGGCUUUUGCUUGCCAAAAGUAGCAAUUUGAUUCGCAGAUCAUGCAUAAAGAGAAAAGAUUCGACCAGCCAUGAUCUCAAUCUUAACAUUUCAACAAUGAAAACAUAGUUGGAGAGUGGUGACAAUAACAUUGCCCCUUUCUCCACCUCAGCUUUCAGCGGUACAAUAAAAAGAAGCUCAUAGAGCCAUAUUGGCCAUCGACCUACCAAGAGACGAAAGACUUUUUGGAAGCAGAUUGGCUGUCAUACUCAGCAUCCCAUUUCAAGGAAAAUACUGCUUGCUUGUGAAGGACGAGCAAUUUAAAAGUCUAUGUUUACACCUCCACUCCACCGUCCUUCUCAACUCACUAUUCACUUCCUAGCACUGGUCUUUUGAGCUUGUCUAUUUCUCUUCUUGACACCAGAUUUAGCAACCUUCAGACUCCUAUGCACAACACUUAACCUUGCAAGAGCUGCAUUCUUUAAAUCAGGUCUGUAAUAGUUAUCCCCAACCUGAUUUUUCACAGCCUUGGCCAUCCGGCGGAACUCCUUCUUCAUGACA